CCUACGGGAGGCAGCAGUGGGGAAUAUUGGACAAUGGGCGAAAGCCUGAUCCAGCCAUGCCGCGUGUGUGAAGAAGGUCUUCGGAUUGUAAAGCACUUUAAGUUGGGAGGAAGGGCAGUAAAUUAAUACUUUGCUGUUUUGACGUUACCGACAGAAUAAGCACCGGCUAACUCUGUGCCAGCAGCCGCGGUAAUACAGAGGGUGCAAGCGUUAAUCGGAAUUACUGGGCGUAAAGCGCGCGUAGGUGGUUCGUUAAGUUGGAUGUGAAAUCCACGGGAUUAACCUGGGAUCUGCAUUCAAAACUGACGAGCUAGAGUAUGGUAGAGGGUAGUGGAAUUUUCUGUGUAGCGGUGAAAUGCGUAGAUAUAGGAAGGAACAACAGUGGCGAAGGCGACCACAUGGAAUGAUACUGACACUGAGGUGCGAAAGGGUGGAGAGCAAACAGGAUUAGAUACCCUAGUAGUC
rnacentral:rRNA from 1 species